rnacentral:tRNA from 1 species
GGAGAGAUGGCAGAGCGGUUUAAUGCGGCAGUCUUGAAAACUGUUGACGGGGUGACUCGUCCCGGGGUUCGAAUCCCUGUCUCUCCG